rnacentral:snRNA from 1 species
GUCACUUCCCGGCCUUUUGGUUAAGAUCAAGUGUAGUAUCUGAAUGGACAAAUAAGUAAAAAAAAUUUUUGGUGAUACCAGGGCUAUUACUGGGCUUGGUGCCUACACAGUGAAUCUACCAAUCCCAGC